rnacentral:rRNA from 1 species
UGGGUAACCUGCCUCAAAGAGGGGAAUAGCCUCCCGAAAGGGAGAUUAAUACCGCAUAAUAUGUUUUGAUCGCAUGAUCAUUACAUCAAAGGAAUUUUCUUCGGAUUAUUCCACUUUGAGAUGGACCCGCGGCGCAUUAGCUAGUUGGUGUGGGUAAUGGCCCACCAAGGCGACGACGGGUAGCCGGCCUGAGAGGGUGACCGGCCACACUGGGACUGAGACACGGCCCAGACCUCUACCGGGAGG